UUGAAAGGGAAACGAUUGAAGUCAGUCGUACCGACGGAGGAUCAACCUUUGAAGCGGGUCGAGGUAUUCGAGGAGUUUAAAAGCCCUCUUGCGCUCACGUACUUCGUUUUCUUUGGUGCACUUCUUCGUAUGGUAGGUUAACAUCAAUUUUGGACGUUACAAAAUGAUCGGGGGAAUGUAGCUUCGAUUUUUUCGAAGUGUUAUAGACCUUGGUAGAUGUGACGACCGGGAUUGAGGAUUGCAACGAAUGCUUUCGGGCUAUCCGUCUGACCUCUGGUGGUUGCUUUAGGGUCGAAAGCGUGCUUACGACUUUAAAGUUGGCUAUCAAAAGGCUAGAACGUGAUUAAAUUCGUUAAGGAUGUUGACGUA
rnacentral:rRNA from 1 species